rnacentral:piRNA from 1 species
UGGCUCCCUGAUAGGUGGAUCUCUUGAGAAA